AGAAUCACCUGGCGGUCUUGAUGAAACACAAGCUGCUGAGCUUUACUCCAGAAUUUCUGGUUCAGUAGGUCUGCAGUAGGACCUGAAAUUUUAUAUUUCUAACAAGUUUUCAGGAGCUGCUGAUGCCGCUAGUACAGGGCUCACAUUUUGAGAACCUCUGGUCUAGCAAGUUGCCACCAAGAAUGAAGAUUGGGCCAGAGAACAGGAGGAAAUUUGUUUUGCAACAGAAAACAUAAGAAAUUUUCCCUGCUUGGAAGAUACUCAUACAUACCAGAAACAAGUCAACAUUUUGAUUUCAAACAUCAAAAAAGGUGUCCAGAAAUCUCAAGAAUUUGAGACAUCCUAAGGAACUUUAAGUGCUGUGAGCCACAAGUAACAUCAAGAAAAGACAGGGAUGAAGAACCGCACUUACAAGCUAAGUGUAAGCUCAUCCUACACAUGUCAUUUGGACCAGACCAAGGCUGCUGUCAUGGAGGACCCACACCACAGCUUGGGAACCAUUCAUCUACCAGAGGGUCACAUGACUUCAAAUGACUCUUCUAGGGGCCACCUGCCAUGAUAGGGUACCAGCUCUUCCUCUGAAUUCCCAAUCCAUUUCUUGAGAACUACUGUUUCUAAUAAGGAUUUGCUCAAAAUGGAUUUGCAAAGAGAAAAAAAAUUUAAUGUCACACUGCCAUGAUAAGUCAACCAACCAUCUCAUAUAUCAAAGGAGAGAGGCAGAGAAAGAAAAGGAGGAGGAUAAAGAAGAGGAGGAAGAGGACGAAAGGAAAACCAAGAGGAGGAGAAGCCACUUCUUACUUUGGAUUAAUGUGAAACUAAAUAGUUUACUACAUUUUAAGUGGGAAAAUGUUAGUUGAAAAGAUAUUUGUCAACCACAAACAUUUGAAAGGGAAGCAUUCCAAAGAUUUUCACUGUUUAUGUUCAAAUUACAACAUGUGCAGAAAGUUGUGCAACUGAAAAUCCUUUCAAACAACAGCUACAAAAGAGAUUGGUCAGUUAGGACAGGAAUAGAAAGUGGAAACUUAGAAGACUGGCUACUCCUUGUGUAUGAUUGCUGGGGUGAGUCUGUGCUGAGAACUUUUUACAAAGGGUGUCCUUUGCUGAUAUGAGAGGGGGGUGUCAAACUUUUGAGUGAUCACUGUGGGUCCUCAGCUUAGACAUCUUCUCUGGCCCAAGAUGGCACCCCUUGCUCUCUUUCCAUGGGACACAGGGACCUUGCCAUCCUUCCAUCUUAUAAGCCUUCUGUCAUGAUUUUUACUUCAUCCUAGAUAGCCUUAAUUUGGGCCAGGUCUCCAGGUUCCUCCACUUUCUUCUGUCCCAUCCAUACCCCUCACCAAUCCUCUGUAAAUUCCUUUCCAGGAUUUUACUGAGAACUACAGAGAAACAGGCUGGGAAUAACAAACAUGGGGAGUUAUGUAGUUAACAUACACUUUGACAUCACCUAGUCAUUUUCCUGAGUAUAUAGAUAACUCUGUUAUUACUGGUUAUAAGGUCCAUGAGAAGCCUUUAUCCUUUUCUGGAAACCAAGAAAGCACCUGCCCUCCCUCAGUCCUAAGGGGAGAAUCUUUAUGGGUGUAACAAUAAAAUGGAUAAUGGGAAAUUCUGAUGUCCUCAAGCAUACAUUCAGAUGUCCCCAAUGAGCAUCAUUUGUAUAUCAAGGGAACUCCAGAGAGAUGAUCCACAAUUCAGUGUGUCCCUUUGGCCAGUAGAGAGGUCACCUUAGUCUGGAAAUAAUGAUGAUAUAAUGUUAAAGAAACCUAACUAAACAA
rnacentral:lncRNA from 1 species